UACGAAGGGGGCGAGCGUUGUUCGGAGUUACUGGGCGUAAAGGGCGCGUAGGCGGCGCUCCAAGUUAGGCGUGAAAGCCCCGGGCUCAACCUGGGAAUAGCGCUUAAGACUGGAGUGCUCGAGUGCGGAAGAGGUGAGUGGAAUUCCUGGUGUAGCGGUGGAAUGCGCAGAUAUCAGGAGGAACACCAAUAGCGAAGGCAGCUCGCUGGGACGGUACUGACGCUAAGGCGCGAAAGCGUGGGGAGCGAACAGG
rnacentral:rRNA from 1 species